UCUAUGUUGCGAAUUGCGAAGUGCAGUGACAAAUAUAUUUUUAAGUGCGUAAAUUAGUUGUUAAAUUUCAUAUUUUGUUUUCGUGUGUUCUUGUGUGCUCAAAAAUCAAAUAAAAUACAUGUGGGUGUGAUUGGUAUUGGAUUGGCAUCAAUUGUGAUAAUCGGAUCUUUCAAGUGCAUUAAAGGCCAAAUCAGUUAUCAACGUGUUGCGCUUUCACCGCGUGUGUUAAGCAAGGGCCUUGGAAAAAAUUUCUAUUGUCGAAGGCCCGGUCGACGCAGAAUCACAAACAAGAUUUCGCAGCGAAACGAUAAGUUCAAGAUAAACGAGUAAAAAAAAGGAAUAACAGAAAGGAGGUGCAAUUAAAAGCGUAGUUUUACAUUAAAAAAAUUAUAAUAAAAUCAUAAACCAAAUCCAUUCAUCAACACAUUUGGCCACGCAAAAUUCAUUCCUAGUAACAUUUCCGGUUGUGAAGUGCGUUCAUUGGAGUUUUCACACACUGUGGUGCAGGGAUAUCAUCAUCACCAUAUCACCAUCACCUUCACUGCUACUACCAUUGCCACCACAAACAUUACCACAAUUAGCACCGUCACCGCCGCUAUAACCACCACACAAACAUAGUUUGCCGGACUCGCCAUCAACGCGGCCACUUACACAUUCUCAAUUGACCAAAUGAAAUAAAUAAUCAUAACUAAACUAACAGUUUUGCACGAUUCGAUACAUUUUUCAUUUGUGUGCAUAAAAUCAGCAUUAAAUUGACAUAAAUUCACAAGUUGCUUAUUGUACUCAUCAACCGCCGCAAUGAGUUUGUGGUUGAGUGUUGGAUGCUUUCCCGAGCUCGAACAACAAAUGCGUGAGUACUACGAAAAGAAGGGUCUCACGGAAAUACGCGUGUGCUUAGCGUGGUGGAUUGAAGAACAAUUAUUAAUAAACCCACCUGAAAUAGCGCCAACCUAUGAAUUGGCCGUAAAAUUAGCAAACUCAUUCUACGAGGAGCUCAAACUAAAGCUCAAGUCUUUUAAAUCUAAUUGUGAUCAAUUUAACAAGGAUAUCUCACGAAUUUGCAAAGAUCUUCAACAAAUAGAACCUUUAAAGCUCUAUUCAUAUCUAAAAAGGGGUAUCGGACUGGAACUUCAGGCAUUGAAGGCAAUGCCUCAAAACCCCCACAUGUAUAAUCCGGCUGUUGUAGGUUGCAAUGUGAAUGGGAUCGGUAUGAAUACGUGUAAUCCAUAUUUGAGCGGUGUUGGCGGUCACCUCGGUGAUGUGCAUAUAGCCGAGGAUGCGUAUGCUUUGCCGGCGCGCAUACAAAAACUGGCUGUUGAUGUUGAGAAUAUGCGUUUGGCCAUACAGAGCGUCCAAGGCGAACAGGAGGCAAUUUGCAAAUAUUUCAAUCAGACACGUGCAAUGUUGACGCCACAGGAGAUACAGGAGCUGGAUAAUCAAUACAAGGACAAAUAUCUGAUUUUGUGUGAGCGUAAGCAGGUGGUAGUGAACGAUUUGCGACGCGUCAUCAGCGAAUAUGAUACGAUACAGGAUCAAGUGAUAAUGGCAUUGAAAAUGUGGCAACGAAAUCAAGCGUUGGCUGGCAAUGGGGCGCCAUUUCACGAUGACUUAGACGACAUACAACGCUGCGUGGAGAUGCUAGUCGAUAUGGUUGCUAAAAUCCAUGCUUUUGUCAGCAGUCUGCGGAUAAUGAGUGAGGGUGAAGAUUCCGUACUUACUGAUUUGCUAAAUCACGUACGAUCUGUACAAAAGAUGCUUGUCUUAUCUGCUUUUAUAGUAGAGCGCCAGCCUCCCCAAGUCAUGAAAACACAUACGAGAUUUGCGGCCGCUGUACGAUGGCUGAUUGGGCCGCAACUUGGCUUAUAUUCAAACAAUCCGAUUAUAGAAUGUGUUAUACUCUCAGAGGCCCAAGCCCAGCGGCAUGCCGCUCAUAACAGCAACUCAGAUAUGCAAACUUGCGCUCCUCAAUCCUCGGGCGAAAUAUUAAAUAACGUCAGCACAAUGGAAUACCAACAAGCGACACGCGUAUUUUCCGCAAGUUUCAGAAAUAUGCAGUUAAAGAAAAUCAAGCGCGCCGAAAAGAAAGGCACAGAAAGCGUCAUGGAUGAAAAGUUCUCCUUACUCUUCUACACAACAGUCGUUUUCAAUGAAUUCAAGAUUAGUUGCUGGACACUUUCCUUGCCUGUUGUUGUAAUUGUGCACGGCAAUCAGGAGCCACAAUCCUGGGCCACAAUUACUUGGGAUAAUGCAUUUUCUGAUAUAACACGCGAACCUUUCCAAGUUCCGGAGAAAGUGCGUUGGGCACAGCUGUCUGUGGCUUUGAACACCAAAUUUGGCUCGGCGACAGGCAGAAAUUUAACAGAAGAUAAUUUGAAUUUUCUUUAUGAGAAACUUUUCCGCAAUGAAGCAGGCGAGCAUGCAGAAUUCAUUACGUGGGCGCAAUUCUGCAAAGAACCUUUGCUAGAUCGAUCCUUUACCUUCUGGGAUUGGUUCUUUGCAAUUAUGAAAUUGACAAAGGAUCAUUUAUUGAAUCUAUGGAAAGAGGGUCUGAUUGUGGGCUUCAUAAAUAAACGCAAGACUUUGGAGGAAAUAUUGCCAAUGCAGCAGUGUGGCACAUUUUUGUUGCGCUUUUCAGACAGUGAAUUGGGUGGCAUAACCGUGGCUUUUGUCGAUGACCAGGGCAACAAACUUAUGCUGGCACCAUGGACGUCGCGAGAUUUGAAUAUACGCUGCUUGGCGGAUCGCAUACACGACUUGAACGUACUGCGCAUUGUUUAUCCAAAGAAUUUGCCACGAGACGAGGCAUUUGGCACCUUUUAUUCUCAUAAUAUUGAAGAACAAACAACACGCGAUGGUUAUGUAGCAAAUACAAUAAGGGCGCAUGUGCCGGCCAUAGAGGGUGGUUCUGUAGUGGGCACGCCGCAGCAUCAGCCUCAAGAUAUACCCAUGCCAAAUUAUAUCGAUGGUCUUGACGACAUCGAUUGGAAUAACGUAAUGGUCUGAAUUGGGUGGGCUGUAUGAAGACAAAGAAAAAUCUUAUUGGUAUAAUAAUGGUCAAUUGGUUAGUGGAGUGCAAUAACUCAUGUGCUCAAGACUGUUUAAGCAGUGACAAUUUUAUUUCUGAUUUCGAUUCAAUUUUAUAUUGAUGGAUGUGGAUAGACAUACACGCACAUGCAAUACACUUUUACCAUGGAAAACUAUUUAUAAUAAAUAAAAUAUGAAUAUAUACAAAAUGAUAAUUGGCUGGAAAAAAAAAUAUUUCGCAAUCGCGCUCGCUCACGCGCCUCAUCUUAAUAUACAUCCAUCUGUUUAAAUAUGAGCAACGAACGAGAGAUCCUUAGCGAGUAAAUAAAUAUAACAACAACAACAUAGCUAUUACCGAUAAUUCGCGCACACGCUCAUCUCACCAUCACCACCACCCACAACAAUCAACUGCGUGAGAGAUGGGCAUUAACUCCCUCUCCUUCGGUAAUGUUCACCUACCACGGCAAUUACGUUGGAGGGGAAUUUUCAUUCACUGACGAAGGCGAUCAUAUUCAAAAAUUGCUGAAUUUCUCAUUUUGCUGUUAUGGAAACUUGCAAUGAUUUAAUUUUACUACGUUUACGAAAGUAAAAUGAUUUAUGUAUAUGCGGGAAUUAUAGUGAAGUCAGCUACUUAAAAAAAAACACAAAAAACAAAAAAAAAACACAAAGAAGAAUGAAAUGCCUCCUUGUGCACGUGAGGAGGUCCAGUUGCCAUUUUGAAGGUUAUGAUGCGUUUACUUUCAUAUCACACAAGUCGCUGCUGAAUACAUAUAACUGUAGUUUACCGUUAUGCAUGCUGUACCGUCUUGAAAUUACAAUAAGUUUAUGUAUAUCUUUUAAAUACAUGAUUUGUAUUUUUUUUUCUUAACUCUUCUUACCCCUUCAAAUACUUUUGUGUUGAUGUUACCACAAAGCAUAGUUUAAACGUAAAUGUAAUAUUUUUAUACUCGUCGUUGCCUUAUAGUUACAGUAAACUUUUUUAUUAUUAUUAUUUUUAUUAAACUAUUUUUAAUAGUAAAAUGAACUAUUCGAUGUAUUGUACAAUUUUAUUAAUAAUAUUUGUUCUGUUGUGGUUAACCAAAACGAAACAAAAGUAAUCGAUUUUGAAUGUUUAUUGCAUGUCUGAAAUAUAUACCGCGUGGUGCUGUGCCCACGAAAUUUUUGAACUUUUUAAUGAACUGUUAAAUGUGAGGAAAAAAUUUUAUCGUUGAAGCAUAAGAAAUAAAAGUGAAAAUGUAAGAAGAAUAAAAGUGAAAAAAAUAAGAAGAAUAAAGGUGAAAAAAGAAGAAUAAAAGUGAAACAAAAAAUGAGAAGACGAAGAUAGAAAAAAUCGCAAACAGAGUUUAAGUCAACCACUGAGCGUUGCAAGUUUGACGUUUCUAGUUGUGUAUAAUUAGUCUAAGUGUGUAAUAAAUUUAAGUAGCAUUAAGAGCUCAUUCACUCCUAUGACAACCUAACGACACAUAUUCUUUUAAAAGUAAGUUACGAAUGUGAGCAACACCUUCUUGAAGAUGAGUAUUUUUUAUUUUAUUUUAAUA